AGCAGAGAGAGCUGCAGGGCAGGAUGGAGGUGUAGUGACAGCUGUGUGUGGGGUCAGUACAGGAAUAGCAGAGAGAGCUGCAGGGCAGGAUGGAGGUGUAGUGACAGAGCUGUGUGUGGGGUCAGUACAGGAAUAGCAGAGAGAGCUGCAGGGCAGGAUGGAGGUGCAGUGACAGAGCUGUGUGUGGGGUCAGUACAGGAACAGCAGAGAGAGCUGCAGGGCAGGAUGGAGGUGCAGUGACAGAGCUGUGUGUGGGGUCAGUACAGG